CGGAGCGGCGCGAGGUCACGGGCCGCCGGACACAAACCGCUCACGCCCGCUCUGCACUGAGCAUGCGCAGCACGCACCUGGCGCUAAGCUAGCGGGAAGCUGCCCUGAACUCUCAGCCAGCCGCAGAGCCAGCUGAAGAUCCUCUGGUUCCCCUGGGCAUUAAAGUUGUGGUGUCUCAUCCCCACAAACUCUGCAAAAACUGCACUCUUCUAAUCACACACAACCACCUAUGGACGAUUACAUAAGACAAGGCAGCAAGGGAGAACUGUUUCUCAGUGGCUGGGAUAACCAAGAGGCUGUCGUUGGGAUAACAAGGAGGCAGAGUUUGGGACCUGCAUCCUGCCUUCGUGCCUCUUGUUGCCGUCAUUGACUUCCCCUCUCUGGUGACUGUAGUCCUCCUACUCCCCAUCACUCGUGUCCCUCGCCAGUGUUUGGGCCCCUCCUUUGAGCUGGCUCUUGUGGCUCUGAUCAGGUCCGAGGGACGGAUGCAUGGCACAGAUGGUGAUUGAAGAGUCAAAAUAUGAAUAUUGUUACAUGUAAGCUAAUGUUACUGCACACUGAAUAAAUGUCAUUAGACUGGCAUCCUCUUGCACAAACCA